AGAUGUCAGAUUGAUAGAUUUGGAGUGAAGAGAAGUACCAAGUAAUGAUCCAGGAGGCUUGAUCAUUGAAAGAUAAUCGGCACAAGUGGAAAGGGGAUCUGUUUACUGCAAGUUGAGGCAAGUUUAUUCGGUCCUUUAGUCUCCGACAGAUGUAGAAUCGGCGAUUGAAUAAUUCUUAAACUGUGUGGCUUAUUUAUGAAUUUAAAGUAAGAGAAGAUUCUAGUUUGGCUUUAGAGGGUGUUCUCUCUGGUACAUGUCACCAAAUUACCCGCAGUUUGAUAAGGCUGUGCCAACAGAUAUGAAUUUGAAAGAUCCAGUUCUGGAUUGGUUGCACUUGAGCAUCCUGUACCUGUUGUCUUGGGAUAUUAGCUCAACUGAUACAAGGGUUCAAGUUCACUGACAUGAGAGGAUUCGGUUGAUGCUCAUGCGGUGGAAGAUGAUGGAGAAUUUAAAGAAUCAAGUUUGACUUUGAGGGUUUAAUCAUGGUAAUGUCAAAAGCCAAAUAGAAGUUGAUUUAACUACACGCCAAAAGCUGCAGUUUGAGGUACAAAGAAC